rnacentral:misc_RNA from 1 species
GAUGAAGAACGUAGUGAAAUGCGAUACGUAAUGUGAAUUGCAGAAUUCAGUGAAUCAUCAAAUCUUUGAACGCACAUUGCACUCCUUGGUAUUCCGAGGAGUAUGCCUGUUUCAGUAUCAUGAGCACUCUCACAUCUAACCUUUGGGUUAAAAUGUGGAAUUGGGAUGCGCCGGUUAUUAUAACGGCCCUCCUAAAAUUCAGUUCUUGGCUGCUUCCUACUACAGCAGUUUGGCCUAAUAGUUUUGAGUCUUCGAUUCAAAUCUUUGGCUAACAUUUGCUUCAGGAUGUCAGUCUUGAUAUACAGAAAUCUCAUUCAAACUUUGAUCUGAAAUCAGGUAGGGCUACCCGCUGAACUUAAGCAUAUCAAUAAGCGGAGGA